rnacentral:miRNA from 1 species
UGCAACGAACUUGAGCCAUUGA